rnacentral:rRNA from 1 species
UACGAAGGAUGCAAGCGUUAUCCGGAUUUAUUGGGUUUAAAGGGAGCGUAGGCGGUCUUAUAAGUCAGUGGUGAAAUCUCGUUGCUUAACAACGACCGUGCCAUUGAUACUGUAGGACUUGAGUACAGUUACCGUUGGCGGAAUGUGUCAUGUAGCGGUGAAAUGCAUAGAUAUGACACAGAACACCGAUUGCGAAGGCAGCUGACGAAACUGUAACUGACGCUGAGGCUCGAAAGCGUGGGGAUCAAACAGG